UACGUAGGGUGCAAGCGUUAAUCGGAAUUACUGGGCGUAAAGCGUGCGCAGGCGGUUAUGUAAGACAGGUGUGAAAUCCCCGGGCUUAACCUGGGAACUGCAUUUGUGACUGCAUAGCUAGAGUACGGCAGAGGGGGAUGGAAUUCCGCGUGUAGCAGUGAAAUGCGUAGAUAUCUGGAGGAAUACCGGUGGCGAAGGCGGCAUCCUGGACCGGCAUUGACGCUGAGGAGCGAAAGCCAGGGGAGCAAACGGG
rnacentral:rRNA from 1 species